CUGCGCUCCAGGGCCCGUGGUGGUGUUUCGGGGCGGAGCUGAAGAGGACUCUGCUUAAGAGUGCUUUCUGACUCUGCGGAGGACGAAACUGGUGCAGGAAGAUAUUGAGUAACUUGUCCAGGAUCACACACUUAGUAACUAGUGAAGCUGAAUUAUGAACAGUCAUACCAGAGCCUGUGCUUGCCAGGAUUGUGUAUAUGGCUACAUCAAUAGUAGUGACUGUGUUGUGAUGUUUAUGGAACACUUCCAAUUCACCAGACAGCAGGCUGAAUGUUAGGAAUUUAAAAGUGGGAAAGACUCAGUUCCAUUCCUCUGAGGCUUCACAGCACCAGGUGUCACAUGGUGUGAUAAAGGUAGAAGUUAUAUAAAGUAGUGUGGGAACAGGGAGAAGCGCACUUAUUUGAGAAAGGGUCAGAAAUGACUCUACAACGUGGGACUUGAGGUGAAGCUUGAAGAUUAGAAGGAAGGAGUUGAAGAUGGGGCUGGAAUGGAGGAUGGGAAAUAGGUCAGAGAUUUUCUAAUGUGAUUUCGAUUCAUGAAUUUUAUCUUGUAGGAAAUGGGAACCCAUUCAUAGAAUAGUUCAGUUAUUCCCAAACUUAAAAUCUUUAAAAGUGUGAUUUUGUUUUAGUUUUAAAUACAGAGAGUGGCAAAACAGGAAGCCUGGAAACCAAGAUAAAGAAGGAGCAGCCAGCAAAUUAGGAAAAUGAACAAAAAUAGGUCAUGACAAUCAAGGGAAAAUUUCAAUUAAAAGGUUGUUGAGGAACAAUGUCAAAUAUUAUGAAAGAUACUGGAUGAGAUAGCAUCAAAGAUUAUUGGAUAAGGUUUACAUGAUAAUUACUAUCUUCUAAGUGCUGUUUUAAGCACUUUAUAGUAUUAGUUCACUUAAUUAUCCAACAACCCUAAGUGUUUAAGUCCUCACAAUUAGCCCCUGUUAUAAAUGAGGAAGAUGAGGUACAAAACUUGGGCAAAAUCAUGCAGUUGAUAAGAAGCAGAAUGGGGAUUUAAAUUCUGGGGGAUCUGGCUUCUAAGUCUGUGCUUGUUACCACUACUCUAUUCUGUCUCUCUAAAACGGCUCUGUGGAGUUUAGGAAAAUAGAGGUUUUCGUCUUUAGUAUGGGCAGCUUCUGUGGAGUGUGGUGGAAAGGGAAGUAGGGAAUAUAGGCAGUAUCAUCAUCUUCUGAAGCAUCUUUCAGAAGCUUCGCUAUGAAGAUGAACAAAGAUCAUCUCUAGCAAAGAACACAGGACUUAAACAUUGGGCAGGGCCUGAGGCUGCAGAGUGCAGGAGAUUUUAAUAUGUUGUUAAGGAAAAAAGUCAGUAGAGAGGUUGAGGAUCCAGGAAAGGGGUAUUUGAUGUAGAGAGGCCACUUAGGAGACAGGAGAGGCUGGCGACUGCAGUACAAAGAGAAAUUAGCCUUGAACAGAAGGUAUCAAAGAUCAAAGCAGAGAAAUGUAUCUGUAUUGCUUUGGUCUUGUUCAGAAAUUAUUAAAUCCAAAUUAAAAACCAGUAACCUGAUGCUG